rnacentral:rRNA from 1 species
AAGCCUACCAAGGCGACGACGGGUAGCCGGCCUGAGAGGGCGACCGGCCACACUGGGACUGAGACACGGCCCAGACUCCUACGGGAGGCAGCAGUGGGGAAUCUUGCGCAAUGGGCGAAAGCCUGACGCAGCGACGCCGCGUGGGGGAUGAAGGCCUUCGGGUUGUAAACCCCUUUCAGCAGGGACGAAGCGAAAGUGACGGUACCUACAGAAGAAGGACCGGCUAACUACGUGCCAGCAGCCGCGGUGAUACGUAGGGUCCAAGCGUUGUCCGGAAUUAUUGGGCGUAAAGGGCUUGUAGGCGGUCCGUCGCGUCAGAAGUGAAAACUCAGGGCUCAACCCUGAGCCUGCUUUUGAUACGGGCGGACUAGAGGGAUGCAGGGGAGAACGGAAUUCCUGGUGGAGCGGUGGAAUGCGCAGAUAUCAGGAGGAACACCGGUGGCGAAGGCGGUUCUCUGGGCAUUACCUGACGCUGAGAAGCGAAAGCGUGGGGAGCAAACAGGCUUAGAUGCCCUGGUAGUCCACGCCGUAAACGGUGGGCACUAGGUGUGGGGGACAUUC